UGGAAAUAGUUGUGGGUGUCCAUAUCAGUGGUGAAAACUGUCUAGUUAAAAUGUAUUGCUACCAAAAUUAAUUAAUAGUCUUUACUAGAUCAAACAUAAAGGCUUGUGGUCGCCAAGGGGAACGAACCAUCGACCAAUCCAUAUUGGAUAUAAAAACCGGUUCCUAUUUGCAAUCUGCAUCUGAAAACGACAAUUCUCCUUUGCCAUGAUAACUUAAGCGAAUUUUUCAUGGGGAGUAGUCGACUAUCGGCGUGACGAUGGCUACGCUAUUUAGGGCCGCGGAGACCGAAUGAAACGAGUUCUUUCAUGAAGAGAUUGGGUGUUGGAGACUUCAUCAGAACAUGCCAUGCAAGACAGCAUAUCAACGAUUCACCAUAACAUGACAUGGAUAAACAUCCGUGGUUCAUAAUUCAUCAACCAAACGCGCACCUGUUCUUGAAUAAUCGUGGAGUGUUGCUAUCGGUCUGAGCAAUGGCCGCUCCAAGAAGAAUUCAUCUCACGGCACUCUCAAGCAAUGCACACUUUCCUCUUCCCCCCGUCCCCAAUGCCAGUGACCAAGCUGUCAACCAAGGUUUACCUGCGCCGAGGCCAGCGGUUGGAUCGCCCCCAUCCGCGCAUCCUCCAACAAGAGUGGAAUUAAAACUCUUCGAGUCGGACGAACAACACUACCCGGAGUUUAGCUACCCAGAUUUAAUCAGCGCAAAAGAUGAAGCUGGCAAAAGAAAAAAAGACAGAUUACAGGACCUGGUGGAUAUGGGCUUUGGUUAUGAUGGCUCUGAUUCAUUUAUUGACAACUCUGAGGCUUAUGAUGAGCUCGUCCCAGCUUGUCUCACCACCAGAUAUGGAGGCUUCUACAUCAACUCUGGAACUCUGCAGUUCCGGCCAGCCUCUGAUGAGGGAGAGGAGAACGAGAAUGAUUUUGAGGACAGUGGGUUUAAACCUAAGAAACGAAAGCUUAAGCAAGGAAAAGAGAAGAAAAUUAGGAAGAAAAAGAGAGAGGAAGACAUGCUUGCUAAGAAGGGAGAGGAAGAAUCCAGGAAGAGCACCCCACCAGACAAAUCAUCUGCAAAGAAGAAAAACAAGAGUUCACUAAGUAUCAAUAAGAUGCUGAAGAAGUUCCAUAAGGACAAGUUUCAGCAGCUGCAGAUGUUCAACGCUACAGAGAGAGAUUUGCACGCUCUCAGUGAUACUCGUCUCAUUAUACAAGCAGAGGUUCAAGAACCGCCCAUAUCAGCCGACCCUCUUCUCACACUCAUUGGUUCUGCCAGUGCAGACGACCUCCUUCAAGCAGUCAAAGCAUCAGAGCAAGACUUUGAAUUCGAUGGACUCUUGGGGGAGCCACAGAACGUCUGCUCUCCAAGCUUCGAAGAUAACAGAGAUGCUCUGGUAGUGUCCGUCGAUGAAAAACCCCACACAUUACUUCCCGAUGGCCUUCCACCUACACUAGAGCAACGCAUUAAAGAACUUUCACAGGCUGUCAGGAAAAUUGAAGGACAAAACAAGAUGGAGAUUUUGUCUUCAGAAUUCAACAGUGUUCUACUAGAUGUGGAGGUGAACUCUAAACUACUAAGUGGAAAAGUAAGAUCCAGAAUCUUCUCAUACUUGGCGUCACAGAUGUCUUGUAGCAAAGGCACUCUGGUCAAAAGAGCCAAAAGACUCCAAAGUCUCCAACAGGAUGACCAACUGCGGGAGCUGCUGAAGAAGCUGGAGAAUGCGGUUGGCAGAUCCAUGCCAGAACAGAUCACCCGUUUCCAGAAUCACUGCCAAGCUCACUCUGAAGCCAGAGCUGCCAAACUCGAGGCUGAGAAAGAGAGAGUAAUUGAUGGAUCCGAUGAGGAAGAAGAGGAGAGGAGUGGAAAACGAGUGUUUGGGCCUCGCAAGAGGUUCAGAUGGAAUGAAGAGAUCAGGGAGUUGCUCUUUGAGAUUGUGAAUUUGAAGAUGAUUAUUUAUGACUCGGAGUUGCCUGCAUGCUCUAGUUUGGAAGAGUAUCUGAAAGGAUUCCUAGAGGCUGAUGUUAAACCACUUUGGCCUAAAGGAUGGAUGCAAUCUAGGAUUCUGCUUAUAGAAACCCGAAAAGCACAUGGCCAUAUCACCGGUGUUGUGGCAAGGAAGAAGCCAAUGGGUACAACUAAACUAAAAAAGUUCAGCACCACCCCUGAGGACAGUAACAAUAACCCAGAAACUCAGGGCCCUCCAGGACUGAAACGCAAGCGUCUGAGUGUACCUGCGAGCAUGCAACCUGAAGCCAUGCUGAGCACCACUGCCAAAACGCCAUCAAACACACAAACCUCUGUCAUCUUCUUCACCCACCCAUCUAAUCAGAGCCACAAAGAAGGUAACAGGAUUGAGCACCACCAUCCCAGCACUCAGAGAUGUCCGGUGAAUGCAGAGAGGGCAGGAUCAGUCCAGAUUAUGUGGAACAAGUCUACCAUGGAUUCAGAUUCAAAGCGGCUCCAGGUUGGAGAGAGGGCGGCUCACAAACUGACACUGGUGGCGCCACCGUCAGAUGCUGCUCAGGGUGACUGUCCAUCGGUGGUGCAGGGAGUGGCCAGGCUGCUCACAACCACCUCAGUGGGCGACACUCCUGUUUCCAUGGCAGCAGCAGCUGGUGAAAUCUCCCGUGGAAACCCAGCACUUCCCACCCCUUCUCUAUCACUCCUUCCAUCUUCCUACCCCACCACAGUACAGCCGGGUGUCUUACCGAGCUUUGCCCCCUUGCAUGCUCUCCCAUUCCCUGGGCUCAGCCAUGGCACCAAACUUCCUGGACAGCCUCAGGCCUGCAAAGGAGCUGUUUUUCCUGGCCCAACACCUGGAACUUUCCAACAUGGUCUGGCACACGGUGAGCAGAUAUUGAUCCUGAAAAUAACAGUGGAAACUUGGUAAGCAUCAUCUCUUUGUUUAAAGGUAAAGUGUGUUAUUUAUGCUCCAACUGCUGAACAAAACUCUAUUGAUUCCAAAGAGGUUUUCCCUUCCUGAACCAUUUUAGCAUUUCAAAUAACACACUGCACAUUUAACUACAUACAGGUGCUUAAUAAAUGCAUAAUUGUUGUCUCGUAUACACCAAAGAUUUUGCACUCUUGUCUUUGUGUGCAUUGGAUAGAAUGGAUGAGCUGAAGCCCAACUCUGGUGUCAUCUGUAAAGCACUUUGCUCCAUCACUGUAAUGUUGCAUUUGUCAUCCUGGGGUUUUCCUCUUCUUCCUCCUCUCUUUCCUAUUUCAGAUGGAAGCCAGAUCCACACAGAUGGUCUAAAUGCUCGGAGAAAACGUCAUUAAUGGCCAUUAGAAUGGAACAAAAGCCAGCUGUUACCUACAGCAAAAUUUGCCACUUUUCCAAAGAUCAUGAAGAUGGAGCUGAUAUGAUCAAACAUGGACAAUUAAAAAACAAUUAGGAAACAUUUUUUUGUAUAUUUUAGAAAUCAAAUCUCAAUUGAUCAAUAAUGGGUAUAAGGAUUAUAAUGUAAUUAUUUUUCUACAGUAAUAAGAUGACCAGCCAUGUAACCUGUAAUGCACUUACUUACGGCAGAUACUUGAGUGAAUUUGUCUGUUGUUACCUUUUCAAUUGCCAUUUCUCUCUCUCUCAGAGGUGAUCUACAAUCCUAACCUAUUUAUGAAAUAAAAUGAACAACAAUGAAUUCCAGGUAGUGUGGCCCACACUGUGUGGGAUUCCACACUACAGCAUUAUUUUCAAGUACAUGUUUGCAAUGAAAAUAUAAAGUAACUCUGAAUCUGUUGUACUAGUCAAAGGCAGAGAUUGCACAUUGUCUUGUUUUGUUGUUGUUGUUGGACUGGGUAAUUAUGCCAGUGUUAUGAUCUCAGGGCUGUUAAAUACAAUGGCUAUUAUUAGAGUUAUUGAGUAAUGCUCCAAAAUAUAGAAACCAUGAACCUGCUUUUGAUUUUGAACAUACUGAUAAAUGGCUUUGAAAAAAUAUAUAUUUGAACGUAACGUGGAAAAUAAAGUUUCCUUAAGUAUUACAUUGUUAA